CGCCUGGGGAGUACGGCCGCAAGGUUAAAACUCAAAUGAAUUGACGGGGGCCCGCACAAGCGGUGGAGCAUGUGGUUUAAUUCGAUGCAACGCGAAGAACCUUACCUGGUCUUGACAUCCACAGAAGAAUCCAGAGAUGGAUUUGUGCCUUCGGGAACUGUGAGACAGGUGCUGCAUGGCUGUCGUCAGCUCGUGUUGUGAAAUGUUGGGUUAAGUCCCGCAACGAGCGCAACCCUUAUCCUUUGUUGCCAGCGGUUAGGCCGGGAACUCAAAGGAGACUGCCAGUGAUAAACUGGAGGAAGGUGGGGAUGACGUCAAGUCAUCAUGGCCCUUACGACCAGGGCUACACACGUGCUACAAUGGCGCAUACAAAGAGAAGCGACCUCGCGAGAGCAAGCGGACCUCAUAAAGUGCGUCGUAGUCCGGAUUGGAGUCUGCAACUCGACUCCAUGAAGUCGGAAUCGCUAGUAAUCGUGGAUCAGAAUGCCACGGUGAAUACGUUCCCGGGCCUUGUACACACCGCCCGUCACACCAUGGGAGUGGGUUGCAAAAGAAGUAGGUAGCUUAACCUUCGGGAGGGCGCUUACCACUUUGUGAUUCAUGACUGGGGUGAAGUCGUAACAAGGUAACCGUAGGGGAACCUGCGGUUGGAUCACCUCCUUACCUUAAAGAAGC
rnacentral:rRNA from 1 species